rnacentral:rRNA from 1 species
GUGGGGAAUCUUCCACAAUGGACGAAAGUCUGAUGGAGCAACGCCGCGUGAGUGAAGAAGGGUUUCGGCUCGUAAAGCUCUGUUGUCGGGGACGAAUGUGCAGUAUUUGAAUAAAGUACUGCAAUGACGGUACCUGACGAGGAAGCCACGGCUAACUACGUGCCAGCAGCCGCGGUAAUACGUAGGUGGCAAGCGUUGUCCGGAAUUAUUGGGCGUAAAGGGAGCGCAGGCGGGAAGGUAAGUCGGUCUUAAAAGUGCGGGGCUCAACCCCGUGAUGGGAUCGAAACUAUCUUUCUUGAGUGCAGGAGAGGAAAGUGGAAUUCCUAGUGUAGCGGUGAAAUGCGUAGAUAUUAGGAGGAACACCAGUGGCGAAGGCGACUUUCUGGACGAUGUCUGACGCUGAGGCGCGAAAGCUAGGGGAGCGAACGGGAUUAGAUACCCGGGUAGUCC